rnacentral:ncRNA from 1 species
UGUCUUGUGGGGUGGGAGGGUUGUUAUCGUUUGUGGUGCUAUGUGGACUCCCCUACCAAUGGCAAGUGAACCGGGAAGAGCCCAACAUGAAAAUCAGGUGGCAGCGUCGCCUGAAUUGUAGUCUGUAGAAGCGUCCUUAGCGGCAAACCGGGCCCAAUUCCCCUGGAAGGGGGAACCUAAGAGGGUGACAGCCUCGUCGGGCCAGGACCCUACCGCACCAUAAGGUGUUGUCGAUGAGUCAGGUUGUUUGGGAAUGCAGCCCUAAUCGGGUGGUAAAUUCCGUCCAAGGCUAAAUACGGGUGAGAGACCGAUAGCAAACAAGUAUCGCGAGGGAAAGAUGAAAAGGACUUUGAAAAGAGAGUUAAAGAGUGCUUGAAAUUGCGAGGAGGGAAGCGGAUGGAGGCCGACGAUGUGUCUCGGUCAGAUGUGGAAUGGCUCAAGCUGGUUCUCCACUUGACUCAAGGUGCGAACCAGCACAAGCCAUUGCAUUGACACAAGCACGGGUGGAGUACUGCCUAUUGGUUUGCCAUUGUAACAGUUGAGGAAUGAAGCGUGCACCCCUGGGGGUGGGCCACUGUGCACCUGCACACUCGUGGUGUUGGUUGGCGGGAUUUCCAUUUGACCCAUCUUGAAACACGGACCAAGGAUUCUAACAUGUGUGUGAGUCGGUGGGUUUGCAAACCUACGAGGCGUAAGGAAGCUGAUGGGUGAGAACCCCUCUCCAUGGGGUGCAUUGCCGACCGACCUUGAGCUUGUGUGAAGGGUUCAAGUGCGAGCACACCUAUUGGGACCCAAAAGAUGGUGAACUAUGGCUGAGCAGGGUGAAGCCAGAGGAAACUCUAGUGGAGGCCCGUAGCGAUACUGACGUGCAAAUCGUUUGUCUGACUUGGGUAUAGGGGAGAAAGAAUAAUCGAACCAUCUAGUAGUUGGUUUCCUCUGAAGUUUCCCUUAGGAUAGCUGGAGCUCAAGUGUGAGUUUUAUCGGGUAAAGCAAAUGAUUAGAGGCAUCGGGGGUGUAACGCCCUCGACAUAUUCUCAAACUUUAAAUAGGUAAGACAGUGUGGCUGCUCCAUUGAGCCAUGCCACAGAAUUGAGAGCUCUAAGUGGGCCAUUUUUGGUAAGCAGAACUGGCGAUGCAGGAUGAACUAAAAGUCGAGUUAUGGUGCUAAACUACGCGCUAAACCAGAUCCCACAAAGGGUGUUGGUUGAUUAAGACAGCAGGAUGGUGGUCAUCGAAGUCAAAAUCCGCUAAGUAGUGUGUAACGACUCACCUGCUGAAUCAACUAGCCCCGAAAAUGGAUGGCGCUGAAGCGUGCGACCUAUACUCGACCGUCGGAGCAAUUGCCAGGCUUCGAUGAGUAGGAGGAUGUGGGGGUCAUUGAGAAACCUUGGGCGUGAGCCUGGGUGGACCAGUCCCCGGUGCAUAUCUUGGUGGUAGUAGCAAAUAUUCAAAUGAGAACUUUGAAGACUGAAGUGGGGAAAGGUUCCAUGUGAACAGCACUUGGACAUGGGUUAG